AAUUACAAAAAGCUGUGCACGUGUGAUGCCCCUACAAUCUGGGAAGCAAGUGAUGCAGAUUUUGUCACCAGCAAAGUUUGAUGGUGACAAGCAGUGCCCCUAGGACUUGGAUAUUUCUGCUGUCUCUGUUCUAUACGAUGUUGACAAACCAGGUGUUAUUAUUCUAAAUGGCUGCAGGGUAGCUGACCUGAUUCCUACGCUCGUACCAAAUGUAUUCAAGUUUUAUUAAGGUCUUUCCCCCUCCCCAGUUUUAGUCAUAAUAUUUUUCAUUGCCGCACCUUUUUAGGCCACUGGAUUUCUUGGCGAUGUCUGCUGGGCUCUUCUUCUUGAUAGGGUUUGUCGGCUGUAUCGUAAUGACAAUGGGCUUGGUUUAUCUGUAUGGGUUCCUCGCAGGAAUCCUUGUGAUCAAACUCAUCAUAUGCCAAUUAUAACUCCUGCUUACCCAUGCAUGAAUUCCGGCUACAAUGUCUCAACCAGUACUCUUCGCGUGAUGAGGGAGCAAUUUCAAUUUGGCAAUAAGAUUUGUGAGGAAAUUGAGCUAAAUAAAUCACAGUGGAAAGAUUUGUUUGAGCCGUGUAUGUUCUUCAAAAGCUACAAGAACUAUCUGCAGGUAGACAUUGUUGCUGCUGAUGUUGAUGGCUUGCAUGCAUAGAAAGGAUGGGUGAAAUCCCAACCGAUAAAACUGACUCUG